CUGGAAAAAGGCAUGAACACUUCCACUCAUAACAUUGUCUAGAAUUAGUUUUUAGACCCUGCCUGACUUGAUGGACAUGAGUUUGAGUAGGCUCUGGGAAUUGGUGAUGGACAGGGAAGCCUGGUGUUCAGCAGUCCACGGGGCUGCAAAGAGUCAGGCACGACUGAGCAACUGAACUGAACUGAACUGAAUCCCAAGUAUACCUGGAGGUACAGUAUUAUGUAUCCAGAAGGAAGACCUGGAUACUAGUGAGCAUCGAUAAUGUCUAUCAAAGUAUGAGGUUCCCUUGUGUUCCAGGAGAUCAAGACAUCUUGUGAAUUGCCUUUUUUUUUUUUUUUGUACAUUCUCUUUGGAUACUCAGCCUCUAAUCUUAACCCUUUAACACCUGGUACCAAAUUUCUUUCUUCCCCAGGUCAGCUAUGGUGGAGCUUUAUUCAGAGAGCAUCCUAAAUUCCAACUGUCUUAAGAUGAUCACAUACUUCAACUUGAAGACUAAACUUGAAACAGACUACAAAAGACAAGGACUCCUUUACUCUAAACACAUAAGUGAGGUUUGAAUGAAAAUGACUGUGAAGUAUGGUAAUCUAGCAACUAUGAGAGAUGUCACCCAGAAGAUGAGAAUGAUUUAGAGAUGCCACAUGUUGCUCUUCUUCAUAGAGGACACAGAGGACCAUCCAAGGUCUGGCAGAGAGCGUGGCCAGAAGCGGACCGUGGCCUUCUACCCUGGGGCCCUCCAGGCCCUCCAGCCUCUGGUCGGUCGGUGAACCGCGGGCCCCGGGUCAGUCGUGGUGUGCUCUGCAGGGCGGUAGCCGAGGCCCCGGUCGGCGGGGCCCAGGACCGGAAGCAGCCGCGAACCUCUCCUCACCCCAACCCGCACCCCCGCGACCUAAUGGCGGCGGCCCCUCCGAGCCCGGAUCUGCCGACCGCUGGGUCUCCACCCUGCGCUGCAGGGCUUGGCCUCAGGUGAAGCCUCCUCCCGGCCUCUGAGAUCAUGGCACCUCUGGGCAUCGGGCGUUGCGGGACUAGAAGAAUGGCGCCUGAUCCAAGUCCGUGGAGGCCCGUUAGAGCCCGGGGCCGGGAAGGACUGUGGUGCCGGCGCGUCCACCCUUAGGACUUGGGGCCGCACGGAUCCGCAGCCUGAGGUGACCGCUGCGUCCCGGUUGGAUGAGACCUCACCUCGUCCGGACAGUGAGGGACAAAGGCCUUAGCGAGCCCACGAGGUGAGCGGAGCCGCAGUCCAUGACAAGUGGAGCGUUAGCGGGCCAUGGGAUGAUGAGCAUCGUUCAGCCAAGCCCUUGAUGUUAGAAGACAGAAAUGGCAGAGUAACAUACCCCUGCGGCCAGCAGAAAGUGCCCAUCGCCCAGCGGGAGGUUUUACUGGCCGCUGACACAAGGCCUGUGUAUAUAAUACGGAAAAGCUGCUCCCAACUCCCCUGCCACCCCAACCUUUCAGGAAAAAACUGUCGCUGCAUCUAGGCCUCCUAGAUGUAAAGCGGUUGCCGACGUA
rnacentral:lncRNA from 1 species